CUCUCCACUAUCCCUUGGCUAGGUCACUUGUGCAAGGCCCCCAUGCCCCUGAAGAUAAAGAUCUUCGUUUGGCAGCUUCUUAGAAAUCGCCUCCCUUCAGGGAUCGAGGUUCUCAAGCGACAGGGCCCGGGUUAUGGCCUCUGCCCUUUAUGCGUGGUCUCUGACACUAUGGCCCAUAACAUACUCUCGUGCACGGCGGCUCGUGUCCUUUGGUUGUUCGUCCGUGAGGCACUAGGGCCCGACUGGGAGGCCCUGGAUUUCGCGGACUUCCUUCAAGCCAGGGCUACCCUACGAGGACGACACCAUCGCAUAUUCUGGCUGAUCUUUGCGGCCAUGCCAUGGACUCUUUGGAUGACAGCAAAUAAAAUGGUGAUUGAGAGGGUGUUCCCGAGGCAGGCGUCUGACUCUUUGUUCAAAUUCCUUGCUUUUCUGCAGCAAUGGAUACUAGGCAGCAUGACCGUGAUCGUCUAG
rnacentral:rRNA from 1 species